UGAUGCAACUAGGGGUGCUGAAGACAGUGGCUGUCCUUGUGACACCACUGUUCUGAUGCUGAGAUCAUACCCUAACUACCUGACCACGGUAAAGCGUGCGGAGGGAAGUUGCCAGGAUCUGUC
rnacentral:ncRNA from 1 species